GAUUAUAGGUGCAUGCCAGCACGCCAGGCUACUUUUUGUAUUUUUUACAAAAAUACAUUUGAACAUGUUUUAUAGGAAGUCAGCUGUGUCCUUAUUGAAAACGUAGUGUCACAAUUAACCUCUUGAUGAGAAAUUUAUCCCAACUAAAUUUAAAUUCACAUGUAGCAGUUGGAAAAUGGACAUGUUCUAAAAGGCAUCAUGGCAAUAAGGAAACCAAGAAGAUGUUCUCUCUUCAUUUUUGUUUCCUCUACAUUAUUCUUCUUACCCAAGAGAACACUAAGGCUGCUGAGGUCUUUGAUAGGUGACAGCAACCAGGGUUUAAACACUGGGUUCUAGGAACAUCAUUUUGUUUUACAGUGCUGUUACUAUAGGAGUCACAUCUGCUUCUGCAUUUUUGAGACAAGAGAGAUUUGGGUGGAUUACUUCAAUUUUGCAGGUACUAAAAGUGCUACACCCAUUGUAAUGGAAGAAGAUGCAGUGGCUGCUGAAUGACUCCGAACCCCAAGGCCUUUGAGGGAGAGCCCUCUCACAGGUACUGAAAAGAUCAGGAAACUAGAGAGAAGAGUAUCUUGGGCUUUAAGGUCUUUGGAGUUCAGUUGACAAUAGGAAGAGGAAUUCAUUUUGGAUUUGAAUUUCCCCGGGAAUUUAAUAAUGGGAAGGGCUUCACAUUGUUCCAUUUUCAGCCACUCUGUUUUUUUAUUUGGACUUUCAAAAGUAAUCUCUGUUGACCAAUUUUGGACAAUAUGAUGACAUAAUUUCUGAUGGCAAAUAGACUGGGGAGUGAAUAUUUGGCGUAGGAUGCAGUAUGGUCUUGAAGUUAAGUUGAUUAAUGACCUAUCCUGACCCAUAAGAAAAUCUUGGGAAGAACAGAUUAACUGUGCAUCUCAUUGGUCUCAGGAAGUUACAGUGGUGCAAUGGCAAUAACUGAGGGAACUGCUAAUCUCUCUUAGUUGGACAGUCUUAGUGGAACAAAGGUUUGAUUAUUUAGCCCAUUUGUUAAAGAGAGAAUAAGAGGGUCUGGAGAGUGGGGGGCUGGUGGGUAUUCAGCUUUUCUCCCUGCAUUUCUGCCAGAGCUCAUAAAGAAGGGAACCCCCACCUAACCUUCUGCCCCUCUAUCUACCCUCUUAUUAAAUCCUCCACAUGGAAGAAGUGACUAGUCUGGUCAGAGACACUGGGGACAGUUCACUAGAGAAAGGGAUAGUGACAUUGAAAGGCACUCACUUUCAUCUCGGACAGGAUCUAAUGCCUGCUUUUUCAUCUCAUACUCCUAGGAGCAACAGGCUGUUUUGCACAUUUCCCCCCUUGUACUAGGGGUCUGGCAGGCCAACCUCAUCCUGAUACCUGGAAAGAAAAACUAUAUUACUGAAGAGACUGUUUACACAUAUGAUGGACAUUCACUCCCCAAAUGCUGCUCUAGAGGAAGAAGGCUGAUUAGCCACAUACAUGUGGCAACCAUGUCAAAUGGCAUCAGCUCCAUAGGGUUUUUUUGUUUUUUUUUUUUGAGACAGAGUUUUGCUCUUGUUGGCCACGCU